rnacentral:rRNA from 1 species
AUACGUAGGGGGCGAGCGUUGUCCGGAAUGAUUGGGCGUAAAGGGCGCGUAGGCGGCCCGGUAAGUCUGGAGUGAAAGUCCUGUUUUUAAGAUGGGAAUUGCUUUGGAUACUGUCGGGCUUGAGUGCAGGAGAGGUAAGUGGAAUUCCCAGUGUAGCGGUGAAAUGCGUAGAGAUUGGGAGGAACACCAGUGGCGAAGGCGACUUACUGGACUGUAACUGACGCUGAGGCGCGAAAGUGUGGGGAGCAAACAGGAUUAGAUACCCUGGUAGUCCACACUGGAAACGAUGAAUGCUAGGUGUAGGGGGUAUCGACCCCUUCUGUGCCGCGGUCAACACAAUAAGCAUUCCGCCUGGGGAGUACGGCCGCAAGGUUGAAACUCAAAUGAAUUGACGGG